rnacentral:rRNA from 1 species
GGUUGAUCCUGCCAGUAGUCAUAUGCUUGUCCCAAAGAUUAAGCCAUGCAUGUCUAAGUAUAAACAAAUCUGUACUGUGAAACUGCGAAUGGCUCAUUAAAUCAGUUAUAAUUUACUUGAUAGUCACUUUAUCAUUGGAUAACCGUGGUAAUUCUAGAGCUAAUACAUGCAACAAGCCUGACUUUGGAAGGGCUGUAUUUAUUAGAUACAAAACUGACGGCACUCGUGUCUUUGGUGAUUCAUAAUAACUUUGCGGAUCGCAUGGCCUUGCGCCGGCGACGUUUCAUUCAAAU